rnacentral:rRNA from 1 species
CGGGAGGCAGCAGUGGGGAAUAUUGCACAAUGGGCGCAAGCCUGAUGCAGCAACGCCGCGUGAGGGACGAAGGCCUUCGGGUUGUAAACCUCUUUUAGCAGGGAAGAAGCGAAAGUGACGGUACCUGCAGAAAAAGCACCGGCUAACUACGUGCCAGCAGCCGCGGUAAUACGUAGGGUGCAAGCGUUGUCCGGAAUUAUUGGGCGUAAAGAGCUCGUAGGCGGUUUGUCGCGUCUGCUGUGAAAUCCCGAGGCUCAACCUCGGGUCUGCAGUGGGUACGGGCAGACUAGAGUGUGGUAGGGGAGAUUGGAACUCCUGGUGUAGCGGUGGAAUGCGCAGAUAUCAGGAAGAACACCAAUGGCGAAGGCAGAUCUCUGGGCCAUUACUGACGCUGAGGAGCGAAAGCGUGGGGAGCGAACAGGAUUAGAUACCCGAGU